rnacentral:rRNA from 1 species
ACGCUCGACACCUACGGGAGGCAGCAGUGGGGAAUAUUGCACAAUGGGGGAAACCCUGAUGCAGCGACGCCGCGUGAGUGAAGAAGUAUUUCGGUAUGUAAAGCUCUAUCAGCAGGGAAGAAAAUGACGGUACCUGACUAAGAAGCCCCGGCUAACUACGUGCCAACAGCCGCGGUAAUCUGAGCGGGCUGGCAAGGC